rnacentral:rRNA from 1 species
UGGGGAAUAUUGGACAAUGGGCGAAAGCCUGAUCCAGCCAUGCCGCGUGUGUGAAGAAGGUCUUCGGAUUGUAAAGCACUUUAAGUUGGGAGGAAGGGCAUUAACGUAAUACGUUAGUGUUUUGACGUUACCGACAGAAUAAGCACCGGCUAACUCUGUGCCAGCAGCCGCGGUCAUACAGAGGGUGCAAGCGUUAAUCGGAAUUACUGGGCGUAAAGCGCGCGUAGGUGGUUUGUUAAGUUGGAUGUGAAAUCCCCGGGCUCAACCUGGGAACUGCAUUCAAAACUGACUGACUAGAGUAUGGUAGAGGGUGGUGGAAUUUCCUGUGUAGCGGUGAAAUGCGUAGAUAUAGGAAGGAACACCAGUGGCGAAGGCGACCACCUGGACUAAUACUGACACUGAGGUGCGAAAGCGUGGGGAGCAAACA